UGUACAUUUAGUCUUACCAGUGAGUACAUUUAGUCGUUGUGUACAUUUAGUCUUACCAGUGUUGAUUCGACUAAAUGUACUCACUGGUAAGACUAAAUGUA
rnacentral:pre_miRNA from 1 species